GACCGCACACUGUAAUUGAUGGGUUGGGUUGUGUGCUUGGGCUGGACUUAGAUAUUAAUGCAAAUCCAGUUCAAUUGCACCUUCCAAGGAACAAGGCGGGAUGGAUACAAGCUAUUGCCCAGUCUCAGGUCUCAGAUCUCAGUCUCUUUUAGGGAAAGAACGUGGGAGGGCAGUCUUGGACCUUGGUGGUGGUGAUCCUAACCUUCUCUAGCGCUUUGUUGCGCUUGGAAUGAUCCUGUUUUCACUCUCAUUUUGGCCUGGUAGUGGUAUAUAGCAGCGUUCUUGGUGAUAAAGAAAGAAACAAAAUCCCCAAUUCACCAGCCAUUUUCUUUCCACACGUCUCAGCAAGCCACAACAUGCCAGCUCCU
rnacentral:misc_RNA from 1 species